GAUGAUCCUCCAUAAAGUCCUUUGUCUUCUACCAGGUACUGUCGGAAAACCAUUUCUGGCUGCUCUCGCUGCUUUACUAUUGUCAGCUAGGAAAAAUAACAAGGAAGUCAGAGAUGAUGGUCUGAUGAUCUGAUUGAGCUAUGAGUGGAGUUAAUGGAGCCACACAUGCAAAACAAUGUCCCCCUGCCUGCUUCCUGUAUAAUUUGGAGGAGCCAUGGUAUCCCCUCACUUCCUCUCACCAGGUGAAACCACCAGAAAGGUCUGCAGUUACCAGCUGCAGCAAGGAAGGGGAAAAUGGCCCAUAAUAUCCUGAAUGUUGUAAAGGCCUGCGUCUAGGUGAAUGUCUUACACUUCUGCAGGGAAUAGCACCGUAAUAAACCACCAUCAUCUGUACAUUUCAAAUUCUAGGAGACUUUAAUAUUGAAUCUUCUCAAUAUUAACUUGAGAAGGAAGAUGGGUGAGUAGCUGGGACUUGGUAAUAAGGCAUAAUUUUCCUGAAUUAUAGAUAUUUUAUAUUCUUUUACCCAAACUUGAGGCCUUGAAGGGCUUAGAAGGGCUAGGAUAACAAAACUCAGAGAUCACAAUUCUGAAGUUAUAAAAAAAUUUUAAAACAUGUUCUGAAUGAUACUUCUGUAAUUAAGUAGUUUUAAGCACUGAAGCAGUCAUUCCACAGUCUGUUAAUGAAAUCAGUUGCUAUUAAGCCAUGAAGAUCUGCAUGAUUACUAAAUUAGUACUUACUAAAAUAAUCCAUGGUUAACCUGUGGUGAUAUCUAUUUCUUUUUAUGUUUGUAUCUGUUAAGUGGGUAGAUUUUUAAGGUCAGUGUGAGUUUUCUAUCAAAGAUCAUGUUAUAAAAAUAUAGGACAUGCAUUUUAAAAGUCUGUAAUGAAAUUAAAAAAACAAAAACUUGAAAUGCCAAUUAUGGAAACAGCCCAAAUGUCCAUUGACUGAUGAAUGGAUAAAGAAGAUGUGGUAUAUAUACAUGACGGAAUAUUACUUGGUGAUCAAAAAGAAUGAAAUCUUGCCAUUUGCAACAACAUGGAUGGAACUAGAGUGUAUUAUGCUAAGCGAAAUAAGGUAGUCAGAAAAAGAAAAAUAUAAUAUGAUUUCACUCAGAUGUGGCAUUUAAGAAACAAAACAGAUGAACGCAGGGGAAGGGAAGGAAAAAGAAGAUAAAAACAGAGAGGAGGCAAACCAUAAGAGACUCUUAAAUAUAGAGAACAAAGUGUUGUGUUGUUGGAGGGGAGGUGGGGGAUGGGCUAAAUGGGUGAUGGGCAUCAAGGAGGGCACUUGUUAGGAUGAGCAUUGGGUGUUAUAUGUAAGCAAUGAAUUACUGGGUUCUAUUCCUGAAAUCAGUAUUACACUGUAUGUUAACUAACUUGAAUAUAAAUAAAUUAAUUAAAAAAUAAUAGUAAAAUCUUUUUAAAAAUUUGAAUAAAGGAAAAAAUAAAAUCUUAUUCUUACCUUCAUUGAAUAUGGCCUCUUUUGUUGGAUAAUACUCAUUAUCAUUCUGAGUGUUUGAGAGUACGGGUUUCCAAUCUCAGGCAGUAAUGUCUAAAUUUGAGAAAAUCAAAGUUUAAGCUUCAGUGUAGUUGGUAAUGAGAUUACUAGAAUGUUAAAGUUAAAAAAAAAAUCCUUCUACACCAUAUAUUUGAUUUUUGGCUUCGUCUGUUUACCUAAAAACCAAAAAUUGUGAAAAAAUGCACUGAAAAUUAUUCAUUCUUAUUGGCAUACAUUUCCACCAAUUUACUCUCCAUCAUUUGAAAAUAAAUAUUGUCUGAAAUUUGACACAUGUACAUCACUUAAAUGACACAACGGGUAUAUGUUUUAUGCAAAGGAUAUCUUUGGAUCAUACACCAUGAUGUUUAAUCCCUCUGUAAGAUGUCUCUUCCAAGGCUUUGUCACAGGAGAAAAGGAUGUACUUUAUUCCUUCAGUGGAUCAGUUGCAGGACCGUGAAUCAUGACCAUGUUUAGAAAACACCAUCCAAAUACCACUGUUCCAAGAUUAAAACAAACCACCAAAUGCUGAUUUCUCAAGGGGAAUGUGCCCCCUGAGAUGUUUCUGAAAUCUGGCUAAUAGUUUAUAAAAGAUAACUACUGCACAUGGCCUUCAGGGGACAUGAAGAAUCUGAAUUUCAUUUCUUCCAGUAAGACAGUAAAAUUCAGGGCACCUGGGUGGCUCAGUCGGUUAAGUGACUUCAGCUCAGAUCAUGAUCUUGCAACUCGUGAGUUUGAGCUCCGUGUCGGGCUCUGUGCUGACAGCUCAGAGCCUGAAGCCUGCUUCAGAUUCUGUCUCCCUCUUUCUCUGACCCUCCCUCGCUCAUGUUCUCUCACUCUCAAAAAUAAAUAAACAUUAAAAAAAAUUGUUUUAAUAAAAUAAAUGGGAAAACUUAAAAAAAAUGUAGAACAUUUUACCACAAAGUCUCAAGCCUCAGGAAAAGAUCAUGGACGGUAUUUUUCACAGGAAUUGUAAAAAAAAGAAAGAAAGAAAAAGGCAGAAAAUUCAUUAUUUAUAUUUACAUUCCAUCCCCUAUGCGUAUUUUUUUACAUUAAGGUAGAUCUUUUUAUGUAACAAACAACAUAAGUAUACAUCACAUACAUAUUUUGAAGUGCCAACUGUCUCUAAAAUCAAAGUGACAUUUGCUUUUUCUUUUGUUUUAUUUUUUUGAAGAAGGUCGAAGGAGGCACACUGGUAUAAGCACAAACCUACUAAUCUGCUGCUCUGUGGUAGAGAGACUGGUGAUUUCAUAUGUACAUUCAGCAAAUUCAGCAAAUACAUAUUUAACACUUACUCUAACAAUACAUUGUGACAGAUGAGGAGGCUUCCUUAAAUUUUAUAUAAACAUUCUUCAGAUUCACAGUCCUUUGUCUAUUGAACUUGAACUUUUUUAUUUUUUAAAAAUUGCAUUUCUAAUCAUUCCUUAAUUUUAACCACAUGCAAAGAUCUUACUAUUUCUAAGUCUUUAGAAAUAGUCUCUUAAUGGGAUAUGGACACCUUUAAUUCUUUUAAAAUAUAAAUAUAUAUAUAUGUACACACACACACAUAUAUAUAUACAUGUACACACACACACACACACAUAUACAUAUAUAUAUAUUUUUUUUUUUUUUUGAGAGGGAGAGAGGGAGAGUGUGUGUGGGGGGAGAAGGGCAGAGGGAGAAGUAAAGAGAGAAUCUUAAGCAGGCUCCACAUCCGGUACGGAACCCAACUCGAGACUCAAGAUCACAACAGUGAGAUCAUGACGUGCCCUGAAGUCACGAGUCAGAUGCUUAACCAACUAAGCCACCCAGGCGUCCCCAAAAUAUAUUUUUGACAUUCAUAACAGAUAUGCAGCAUCCUAAGCUGACCACCUACAGAGGUGGAAUUUUGAUCCUGCUCGUUCCUCCAGGAUAUUAUGUAUUUACCUUCAUAACAGAAAUUGGGGAAUUAACUAGACUUAAUUCAUCUUGCCAUCAUACAAGUGAGGCCUCAGGGAACAAACUAUCUGCUGAGUUCUACAUGUGAAUUCGUAAGAAAUGCACCAUGAAGUACAAUAAGACAAUAACCUUCAUAGCAAUGGUGCUCAUGCAACAAUGGUCUACAAAUAAGAUUUGCAAUAAAUACUCUCAAACAAAUUACAACUGCUGGUUUUUCCUAGGAUACUUUAAAAAUAAAGUCAUUUGUAUUCAUUUUACAACAAAUCCACAAUCUCUUUUGUAAUGAGUGGAGUAUAUAACUUAUUUAAAACAAAGGGGAAUAAAACCUGUUUUUGUGAGAUUGUUAUUUUGCAACUCAUUAAUCUGACACAGUUUUAUUCUGUAGCUAAAUAUGGAUGCAAGAUUUCUGCUUUCUUUUGAAUAUUGAGUUCAACACCAGAGAAGAGUACCGAGUGUAAGAACUGAAUUCGCUCUCUACCUCUGCCACUUGCUACCUGAAAGAACUUGUCUCCAAAGCUCAAUCAAUUCAUGUACAAAAUGUUGAUGAUGAUGUCUGUCUCACUGAUUUGUGACAGAAUUAAAUGCAAUGGUGUAUUUAAGGUAUUUAGAGCACAGUGACUAACACAUAGCAAAUGAUCUGGAAGU